CAAACUGAAAGGGAAGGGCCUUAAAUAUAGUUGGUUUCAACUCCUUCAGCCUGGGAUGAAGAUUUUUUUUUCCUUUACUGCUGUUAAAUCCUAACAGACAUCAAAGGUAAUGCAGAGAACUCUCCUAAAAAUUAAAGGAAUUUACAACAUUGAACUGGUCUAUUUAAAUUAGUCAUUUAAAAAAUAAUCAGUCUGACAGUGGUGGAUGGAAGUAACAAGUGAUCUGUUUGGAACUUCAUUAACAAAACAUGUAGGUUUCCUUUCACUGAUGACAUGAAGGAUCAUUUGAAUGAAAGCUAGCAAUUUCCUUGGAGGAAGCAUGAUUCUUCUUGUCUUAAUUUCUAAACACAACAAGACUAACUUGCCUGAUGCCCGAGAUGUUUCAAUUUGCAUUCCGUUCUCUACCUUCUCCAGUCUGUUCUCUACCUUCUCCUUACACUGUCCAGAGCACAUUGGGAAGCUCCACCCUUACUACGCUUCUAGCUACAGUAGCUAGAUUAAGCACAUUUAUUUUCUCAGUGACGCCUCUUCUUACUUUAGGAGCGAUGCUUUUCCUAUUGGUUCCCAGUCCUGUGAGUAAUAAUCACAUGGAAUGCCUUGUGCUGGGAGUGGAAUGCUUAGACUGCUUGUGUGUGUCAGUUUCUUUUGCUUCCUGUCAAGCACAGCAUGAUCCUGGGAACGGUUCUACUACAGUCCAGCGGUUAUGGCACAAAAGAGAAUCUGCUUUGCUGCCUCUGCAAUGAAUCCUCUGAUUCUGGUUUAUCUGAUUUCCGAGAGGCCCUUCACCGCCCCUAUGGGUGUGAUGUUGAACCCCAGGCACUGACUGAAGCCAUCAGGUGGAGCUCUAAGGAGAACCUGCUUGGAGCCACUGAGAGCGAUCCCAAUCUUUUUGUUGCACUUUAUGAUUUUGUAGCAAGCGGUGACAACACACUCAGCAUCACCAAAGGUGAGAAGCUACGAGUCCUAGGUUACAACCAGAAUGGUGAGUGGAGUGAGGUAUGUUCUAAGAACGGGCAGGGAUGGGUGCCAAGCAACUAUAUCACACCAGUGAACAGCCUGGAGAAGCAUUCCUGGUAUCAUGGGCCAGUGUCGCGCAGUGCGGCAGAAUAUCUGCUGAGCAGCCUCAUCAAUGGCAGUUUCCUGGUUCGUGAAAGUGAGAGCAGCCCGGGGCAGCUGUCCAUCUCCCUCAGGUAUGAGGGGCGUGUUUACCACUACAGGAUCAAUACCACCACAGAUGGAAAGGUGUACGUGACAGCUGAAAGCCGCUUCAGCACAUUAGCAGAGUUAGUUCACCAUCAUUCUACAGUGGCAGAUGGACUGGUGACAACCUUGCAUUACCCAGCACCCAAGUGCAAUAAGCCCACAGUCUAUGGAGUGUCCCCGAUCCAUGACAAGUGGGAGAUGGAACGGACGGAUAUCACCAUGAAGCACAAACUUGGGGGAGGGCAGUAUGGUGAAGUAUACGUUGGUGUCUGGAAGAAAUACAAUCUCACGGUUGCUGUGAAAACACUAAAGGAAGAUACCAUGGAGGUGGAGGAGUUCUUGAAAGAAGCUGCUGUGAUGAAGGAAAUCAAGCAUCCAAAUCUGGUGCAAUUAUUAGGUGUGUGCACCCUGGAGCCACCCUUUUAUAUUGUGACGGAAUAUAUGCCAUAUGGGAACCUGCUGGACUACCUACGAGAAUGCAACCGAGAGGAGGUGAGCGCUGUCGUGCUGCUCUACAUGGCCACGCAGAUCUCCUCUGCUAUGGAGUACUUGGAGAAGAAGAACUUCAUCCAUAGGGACCUGGCGGCCCGGAACUGCUUGGUGGGAGAAAACCAUGUGGUGAAAGUGGCUGACUUCGGCUUAAGUCGACUGAUGACUGGAGAUACCUACACAGCUCAUGCUGGAGCCAAGUUUCCUAUCAAGUGGACAGCACCCGAGAGCCUGGCCUAUAACACCUUCUCCAUUAAAUCAGAUGUGUGGGCCUUUGGGGUGCUCUUAUGGGAAAUUGCCACUUACGGGAUGUCACCAUACCCAGGUAUUGACCUCUCACAGGUGUACGAUUUGCUGGAGAAGGGAUAUCGGAUGGAACAGCCAGAGGGGUGCCCUCCAAAGGUUUAUGAACUGAUGAGGGCAUGCUGGAAGUGGAAUCCCACAGACCGACCAUCCUUUGCUGAGACCCAUCAAGCCUUUGAAACAAUGUUCCAUGACUCCAGCAUCUCUGAAGAGGUGGCAGAGGAACUUGGAAGAACAGCCUCUUCGUCAUCUAUUGUUCCCUAUUUGCCCCGGUUACCCAUGCUUCCCUCAAAAACUAGGACUCUGAAGAAACAGGCGGAGAACAAGGAGAAUAUUGAAGGAACACAAGAUACUGUGGAGCAUUCCGCUUCCAGCUCAGCACCAGGGUUUAUCAGAAGCACACAGCCAACAAGUGGAUCACCAGCACUGCCUCGCAAGCAAAGGGACAAGUCUCCCAGUGGCCUCUUGGAAGACGCCAAAGAGACCACUUUCACCAGGGACAGAAAGGGUGGCUUUUUCAGCUCCUUUAUGAAGAAGAGGAAUGCCCCCACACCUCCAAAGCGCAGCAGCUCCUUCCGUGAGAUGGAGAACCAGCCCCACAAGAAAUACGAGCUCACGGGUAACUUUUCAUCUGCUGCUUCCUUGCAGCAUGUCGAUGGGUUUUCUUUCCCACCCCCUCAGCAGGAUGCAAGCCUGGCUGCAGCCAAAUGCUACGGAGGGGGCUUUGCACAGAGGAGCUUUUACAGUGAUGACAGUGGUGGUACCAGCGGUGGUGGGGGCACAAGCACUGGUGGUGGGUGGUCAGGCAUCACAGGUUUCUUUACACCGCGCUUGAUUAAAAAGACCCUGGGUUUACGAGCAGGGAAACCCACUGUUGGUGAAGAAGCUUCAAAGCCUUUUCCAAGGUCAAAUUCUACAUCUUCCAUGUCUUCAGGGCCUCCAGAGCAGGACAGAAUGGCAAUGACUCUUCCUAGAAAUUGUCAGAGGUCAAAAAUACAGCUGGAAAGGACAGUGUCCACCUCCUCUCAGCCAGAGGAGACUACAGGUAGAGCCAAUGACCUGCUCCCCAAAAAGCUUGAAGACGGCCCUGUUCUGACCAGAGAGAGACCGAAAGCUAAACUCUUGCCAAGAGGUGCCACUGCUCUUCCAGUUAGAACAGCUUCAGGGGAUUCAGCUAUUGCAGAGAAGGACUGUCCAGGUCUGGCAACAGCCCCUAAGAGCAAAGAAAAAAACACCAGUACACGGCAAGCGGCCCUAGAAGAUGGAGAGAGACCAGGAUGGUCUUCCCCAGCAAAGGCCGCAGCAAUACUUCCAACCACUCAUAACCACAAAGUGCCAGUCCUAAUCUCACCCACUCUAAAACAUACUCCAGCAGAUGUGCAGCUUAUUGGCACAGACUCUCAGGGUAAUAAAUUUAAGCUCUUAUCUGAGCAUCAGGUCACAUCUUCCGGCGACAGGGACCGGCCCAGACGGGUAAAACCAAAGUGUGCCCCACCUCCACCGCCAGUGAUGAGGCUCCUGCAACAGCCGCCCACUUGCUCAGACACAGCAGAAGAGUUGAGCAACACCGCCGCAGCACAGCACGGACUAGAAACAAGUGAAGGUGGUAAAAAGGCAGUGGUGGCACAUGGUGGAAAAUCUGGGAGGCCCAUGAUGCCUCCACCUCAAGUGCCUCUGUCAUCCUCGUCCACCUCCCCAGCCAAAAUGGCCAAUGGCACGGCAGGUGCUAAGGUGACAUUAAGAAAGACCAAACAGGCAGCUGAGAAAAUCUCAGCGGACAAAAUCAGCAAGGAGGCGCUGCUGGAGUGUGCAGACCUCCUCUCGAGUGCCAUCACCGAGCCCACGCCAAACAGCCAGCUGGUGGAUACAGGGCACCAGCUGUUGGAUUACUGCUCAGGCUAUGUGGACUGCAUCCCACAAACACGCAACAAAUUUGCCUUCCGGGAAGCCGUGAGCAAACUGGAACUCAGCCUGCAGGAACUGCAGGUGUCCUCAACAGCUGCUAGUGUGCCCGGGACAAAUCCCGUCCUUAAUAACUUAUUGUCAUGUGUCCAAGAAAUCAGUGAUGUGGUUCAAAGGUAGCUACUGUCAAUUUGGGUAAAGGAAAAAUUACACAUGGAGGGGAAACUCUGUUCCUGUAUUGAUGCUUUCAAAAGGAAAGACUGAUACUUGAGUGAGUUUUUGUGCUGUACCUCAGAUCAGAGUUCUCCUCGAGUUUACAGAUUCAUCUCAAAAAUAGGGGGAGGGAGAGAGGAGACAAUGGAGGAAGGGGGUGUGUGUGUGCGAGAGAUUGAAGCUGAAAGGGCAGAAUGUCAAGAAUUUCCCAUCAGCAAAUCUGGUCUGCUUGUGUCUACGAGGAGAGACAUUCCUUGCUGCUGCCUUCCAGAGGCAGGAGAAUCGAUGGCGGGUUCUUGUUUUGGUAGGGGUGGUUUCCAUGUGCUGUCCAGUCCUGGAGUGGCUGCACGGCCAGUUAGCUGCACAGAUCCUCCCCUCUGUGUGCACUAAUGCAUAUUUUGGCCUCCAGAGCUCACAAGGGAAAGGCAGUUGGGCACAGUUGAUACCUAAUACUGAAAAUUCUGAGCAUGAGUUGUCCGAAGAGGGAAGAGUCUGUUUGGUUGUAGGGAAGGAAGUGUAACGCACUGACGGUGUUCAGAGCUGCUGGAAGUGAAUGCACUAGCCCAGGUGGCAUACUUCCACAGGACUGUUGCUGCUGUAGUAAGAACUGCCAAAUGAGUUAAUAUAUUAAACUAAUCCCUUUCCCUCCCACCCAUUGCACACCAUUACACAUUCAUAUUUGAAGCAUCAGGCAUGCUGGGCAGAUUUGUCACUGGUCACCUGCCCUUUUCCUCCCCUAAAACACAACACACAGUCUUCACCUUUGGUUGGCUCUAACCAUUGCUGGUAGUCUAGCAUGGGUGCUACCUGACAGUUGGUCACUUGUGAGUAGUUUGAGGCUGUUGCACAACUUAUCAGUGUCUGUUGAUAAAACUGUAGUUUGUUUUUAACUUUGGUACAAUGUUAGUUCCCUCUUGUGUGGUCACCUGGAGCUCCACCGUUGGCAAGGCACUGCCUCCAAUCAAGGCAGAAUCUCGCUGCUCUCUACAUUCCUUUGUAGCAUUGAAAGUGCUGACACGAAUAUAGAUAGCCAUAUAGCCUUGGUGGCCCCAUAAUCCCACUGGAAUAGCUUUCUCAGUGGUCUGAUCCCCCUCCCUCCCCAACGUAACAUUAGCGUUCUGGGAGUUGCACCACUGUUCAAUUUGCAAGCUCUUACCUGUGCAAGCCACUGAAUAUAUAUGUAAGCUAUGCCAGAUGGUCUCCACAACCUUUUUUAAAAGUGCUAGGUAUUUGGCAGCAUUUUGUGCUGUGGAAGGUAGCACAGUAGGAUGUGAUGAUGACACAACUAACUGCUUUGUUUUAUAGAGCACCAGUGUUUGUGUUAAUAUUCAUCAGUUCCCUUGUGGAUUGAAAAGCUUCGGUCUUUUUGGAGUUAGUAAUUGCCACAUGCCAUAUCCUGAAUUCCUUAUUGUGUUUUAUUCAGCCUCCCUCCAAAGCCCUAGGGCACUAGCCUAAGUAAGAGCUUCACAAUUGGGACCAGUGUGUGCGAAAAGACCUUACCUGCUAUUCGUGCUGUCACUUAAAAGGAGAUGUGUGACCAAAGCACCACUCCAGGAUGUCUCCAAUACAGUGUGAUCAGGGUCUCUAGGGUUCUGACUUCUCUGGCAAGCAAUGGGUUUCACUUUUUCACAAGUGCAAGUGACAGGCUGGCAAUCACUACUUUGUUUUCAAUGCCUAAUACAUAGCUUCCAGAGGCUUGCCACAAACAGAAACGAGUGACAAGAGCAUGUGCAGAAACCUCCUUUAUGCUGAGUGCAGCAUGCUUUCCAGAACCUUAGGCAAGAGGAUUUUGCAUGGAUGGUCAGUGGAGCUGGCAGAUAGAAAAAAAUCUUUAUAAUUUGCUACCCAUAUGGAGUAGGCUAGAUUACUGAAGACCUGAUUUAUUUCUCUCAAAUUAAAUGUCUAUACCAAAGGGUCACUCUUCCAACGUGUGUGUUGUGCACAGGGGUUAAAAAUUAUGAUCAGCUCAGCACACAGUUUGUAUCUGUAGUGAAUUCAUUGACAAUACUGGAUUAAACUAAACACCUUAAUCACCAAUCACACUACCAGUGUUGUUAAUUGUUUUGUUUAAUAAUUGUUAUUGUAAUAUAUUUUUGAUUGUUUUCCUAAUUUAAUUCUCACUCUAUUGUCCGACUGUGAACUGCAAACAGUGUUAAACUUGAUGUAAAUAAGGUUUUGCCUGUUGUUCCACAAGUUUUUGCCAAUUUGCAUUUUGUUUUAAAUAAAAGUUGCAAUAUUUUAUUGGCAAACUUGAAUAUGUGGUGCUUUUAUUGGAGUGGUUGCACUUGCUUGGUUCUAAAUUAAAGGUUGGUGCAUUGAGUUUAAAAAUUGAACAUCCCUGCAAACAUAUAAAAAACAAACAUUUAACUGGAGAGAUUUGCAAAGCUCUCCCAAUAUUUUAACCUCACUGAAACAGGAGCAUUCAAGCCAGACUGCAGCCACUCAUUUCCAGGCAUGGUGAUUAUUUGUGCCUGAACUGAAUAUCACACAUGCCUAUUUCUCAACUGUACAAUGGGCUAAUUACUGAGUCUAAGGAUUUAUCUCAUCAGUUUUUGUCUCAACUUUUUUGGAUUUGAAAUUCUCUAGGGCUAGUUACUAAAAACCCCUUUUUUCUUGGUGCUGCUUUUAGAAAAGGGGAACACAAAAAUGGCCAUACCUGGGUGAGAUUAAAGAUCCCUCUAACCCAGUAUCCUGUCUUCUGACAGUGGCCAAUGCCAGGGGCCCCAGAGGGAAUGAACAGAAAAGGGAAUCAUCAAGUGAUCGAUCUAUUCCCACCUCUGACCAACAGAGGCUAGGGAUGCCAUCCUGGCUAAUUAGCAUUGAUGGACUUAGCCUCAAUAAAUUUAUCUAGUUCUUUUUUGAACCCGGCUAUGUAAAGUACUUCCUUAUUUCAUGUAUGUUCUUGUGUUAUGGGAAGAAAUAAAUAAUUCUUCCUUAUUUACUUUCUCUUGACAUGAACACUGCGUGCAGGUAUGGUUACCUCAAGAUGUGGCUAUACCAAGGGGGAUUAAUAUAGUAGCAAUAAGAUAUUUCUUAUUCUGUCCCAGCCGUGGCCAACCCGUGGCUUGCAAGCCACCUGCAGCUCUUGUGCCCCAAAAGUGUGGCUCUCCAAGCUGCUCCUGCACCCCUGCAAAUGGCCCCCGCCUUCCCUGUGCUUACAGGGUGAGAGCUGCGGGGUUUUAAAAAUGGCACCUGUCUUGAAGGUGGGGCAGCUUCCUUUUUAAAAAAUGUUUUUGUUUUCGCUCAGUUCUGUUCCGGGGGGAGGGGUUUAGGUUUUUUUGUGCUUGACAAUUCUGGUGCAGCUCUGCAUUUUUUCCCCUGCUGUUUUGGCUCUUGUUAAAUAGGUUGGCCACCCCUACUCUGUCCCUCUGUUAAUGAUGCCCAUUUUUUAACUGCUGCUGCACAUUAAGUGGAUGUUUUCAGAGAACUAGUCACAUUGAUUCUAGGCGCUCACUCUUGAGUGGUAACAGCUGAUUUAGUCCCCAUUUUAUACUUACAGUUGGGAUUGUUUUCUAAUAUGCACUACUUUGCAUUUAUCAACAUUGACUUUUGUCUGCCUGUUUGUUGCUCAGUCACCUAGCUGAGGGUCUUUUUUUUGAAGCUCUUCAGUUUGCUUUGGACUUAAACUAUCUUGAAGAAUUUUGUUUUCAAUGCAUAAUACAAAUUUCGCCACCUCACUGUAUCUCUUUCUCCUUAUCAUUUUUGAAUGUUGCAUAGGAUUGGUCUCAGUACAGACUCCCAGGGGCGGCAAUGACACACCACUAGUUACCCCUCUCCAUUCUGAAAACAGACCCUUUGUUUCCUAUCUUGUCAUGAGAACCUUCCCUCUUAUCCCAUGACAGCUUAGAUCUCAGCUUUUGACACCCUACAGCUGAAUCUACACUAUUUAGAUUCUUCCCUUUAACCUAGAUGAGAAAAAUAGGAAGCUUUGAAGAGCAGGCUUUCUUUUGGUCUUAUUCCAUGACCAGCUAAUGGUUUGUGAUUUAAAAAAUAUAUAUAUUUUUUAAAGGCACAUGUACUUGCAAGUGAAAGGAAGCAGAGAGAGAGAGUGAGUAAUAAACUGUUAACACCUUGGCUAGCUUGGAAAAGUAGACAGGCAUGAAGCAUUUGUAUAAGUAUUUUUUCUUCUUCUCUACAAUGGCCAUAUAACUAAUGCUGCUGCUAAUAUCUUACCAAUAAAAACAAAAGGAAGUUUUUCUUCACACAGCACAGUCAACCUGUGGCACUCCU